rnacentral:rRNA from 1 species
GACGAACGCUGGCGGCGUGCUUAACACAUGCAAGUCGAACGGAAAGGCCCUGCUUUUGUGGGGUGCUCGAGUGGCGAACGGGUGAGUAACACGUGAGUAACCUGCCCUUGACUUUGGGAUAACUUCAGGAAACUGGGGCUAAUACCGGAUAGGAGCUCCUGCUGCAUGGUGGGGGUUGGAAAGUUUCGGCGGUUGGGGAUGGACUCGCGGCUUAUCAGCUUGUUGGUGGGGUAGUGGCUUACCAAGGGUUUGACGGGUAGCCGGCCUGAGAGGGUGACCGGCCACAUUGGGACUGAGAUACGGCCCAGACUCCUACGGGAGGCAGCAGUGGGGAAUAUUGCACAAUGGGCGGAAGCCUGGUGCAGCAACGCCGCGUGCGGGAUGACGGCGUUCGGGUUGUAAGCCGCUUUCGCCUGUGACGAAGCGUGAGUGACGGUAAUGGGUAAAGAAGCACCGGCUAACUACG